CCACCCGACACCUCGUUUAAAAAAAAGAAACACCCACACGGUUCACUCCAUCCCCAUUCCCCACCACCGCUACCAGUCCUCCCUGACAUCCCGACGACGGCAAGCCCCCCGUGCAGCCGCGCUGCACCACCCAUGCUCUGCCCAACCAGCCUCAGCGCGCCGCUCCAUUUCCUGGCUCCAGGCCGCACCGUACAGACGCCGUGCUACCUUGCCAAGGAGCAGGUGACGGUGGAGGCCGCUGCGGCGGAGAUGUGGUUCCUCACAGCCACACGCGCCGGUCAGGACACUUCAUCCCUGCGAGUCAGAUGGUGGAGGUGGGGCUGCGGGAUCCAAAGUUUCUAGCCCGGCCGCUCAGCCCCGUUUCAGCCCCUGCAUGGAGCCCCCACCCGGCCGACCGGUUCCAUCCUGAUCCAUCUUCGCGCGAGACUCCUUGCAGUUUUUUCGAUCUAAAUUUGCUUCACCUGGAUUUUUCCGAUCUGGCAUUUUUCUUCACCAUUUGAUGCAAUCGGGGUCGAUGUUGAUUUUUGUGGACAUGGUGUGUUCCAAGUCUAGAUCCCGUGGAAAGUCAUGUUAAUUCUCGCUGUAUUCUUCGAUCCAGAUCUUUUUUUCAUCUACGUUUACUUCACAGAGAACAUGGGAAGUUGCUUCGCAGGUGGUGGCGACCGAGCUGCCAGUGGGGUUCUCCUGGCUAGAUCUGGCCGCCGUGCUCGAUUCCGUGUUUGGUUGCUCCGGCUGCACGGCGGCGGCGGGCCGCCAGGGGAUGGUUCGGUGCCAGCGGCUGGCUGUUUUCAGUUUUCCACUGUUCAACCAUCGUGUGUUCUUUUUGUACGCCAGCGCCAGGAGAUGGAUUUGUUCCUCACGCCGCCUCCUUUUGCUAUCCAUCCAUGGCGUUUAACCUUUCUUCUCUCCUCUCUGAGUGUUAUUGUUUUCUCCGGAUGAAGUCGCCCAGCUCAUCUUUUUUUCGAACUCUUUGUUGGACUUCUGGUUUGGUUCUUUGAGCUGGAAAAUUAAGAUGAUAUUGUUUGGUGCACGGCAUGAACUAUGAAGAACUAUGGACAAACUUCACCGGCUCGUUCAGGGAAUUGGGUCAAUGUUGAUUAUGUGUAAACUUUACAAUGAAAAAGUUUUAUUUAUCUCGUAAUUUUGUUCCACCCAUUCCAUGUACGUUAGUUUUUUACAGAAAGUUUUCAGUCCAAGUUUUUCUACAGAAUGGUUUGACUUUCUUGUCGAUUCUCUGAAUAGUAGUACUGCAUUGAGUGCGUUUUUAAUUUGCAAGGAAGUGUUCCCAGAUUUGUGAUUCAAUUUUUUUAUAAGCUAUAGUUCUCCAGAUUAGAUUUUUUUUUCAUAUUAUUUUUUGUUCAGUAGGUGCCCUUGCGAGGAAGGAGAAUUAGGGGAGUAGGCAAGCCCGAGGAAUUUUUUUCGAUGUAGAUCCCAUGUUCAUUUAACUAAAGGGUGAACUUUAUGAGAAAAUUUUAUGGGAAAAGUUGUGUUAAUUAAUCUUGUAAUGUUUUCCGAUCUGGAUCCCAUGUCCAUCAUAGAAAUGUUUUUCCAAUGCUAAGCUAGUUAAUGGUGUAUUGAACCGGACUUACUUAAUUACACCGAGGGAUGUUUUGCACUCCGAGCUGCACCUACACCUGCCCAUCAGAAAUAAUAUAAUCUUGCAAGGACAUGCCCCAUGUCGCAUGCCACAGAGAGCGCAUAAAAGAUUCCGACAGACGGGUAACGGGGACUCACGGAAAGCACGAAUCAUCGCAGGCGAUCCAACGGCCAGUAGCACGUGCGUAGCUAUCACCCCGGCUAGAAAAUCCGCGUCGAUAUAUAUAUAUAUAUAUAUAUAUAUAUAUCGACGCGGAUUUUAUAACCGGGUGGCUAGCUGUGCACACCGGCUCAGCCGUUGGAUAUAGGGAGCUUGAUUGUGACUUGGGGUCUCUGGGUACUUCACAUUGUUGUGAGCAGCUAACGCCGGCAUGCACCUCCGUCAAGAACGCAUGGACUUUAUAUGGCUGUAAAAACGUUACGUGUAGUGUGAUGCAGUUUGGUGCAGCUAGAAUUAGCGCAUGAGGCUGGUAGCCAAAGAUAUAGAAAGUGUCAAGAGCAUCCACUCGUUAAAAUUGUUGGCAUUAGCCUACACUCCUUGUUCUGUCGGGAUGCCUCUGUUCAUUGUCAUAUGCCUGUAUCGUAUGUUUCGCGAUGCUAAGUUAGAAACUAUGCAUCUGCCGUCGCAACGCGCGGGUGUACUGAAGUAGACCUGCUGUAGUUUCAACCAUGAACGGCUUGUGGUAACCUGCUUCGACGGACGUAGAAAUAUUUACUGGCAAGGGCGCCUCUCCUUAUCUCGUCAGCCCUUUGCUGCCUACCAAGUUGACCUUGCUUGCACGAGCAGGUGGAAGGGGCGAUACAACCAGCAAUCGACUGGGGGAUCAAUGGCCAUGGCGGAUGAAUGCGCCGGCGAGGGCGUCCCGGUUGGCCCCUGCCUGCCAUCUUCGUGGAACUACGGGGCUGUAGAGAAAGCACUGCGAGAAUCUGCAAACAAAGGAGGCAAGUGCAUCUUUCUACCAACGGAGGGCCAAGUUUUCCAGACGCUGGAAGAAGCAUACGAGUUCUUCAAUAUGUAUUCCUGGGAAGUUGGAUUUGGAAUUCGCUAUGGCCGUAGCAGGAUGAAUGCGGCCAAGAAAAAGUCCAGGCAAGACCUUAUUUGUUCCUGCGAGGGUAGGGACAACGGAGAGAUGAGCCGAUCUCGCUAGGUGUGA